rnacentral:rRNA from 1 species
GUAGGGAAUAUUGGGCAAUGGGCGGAAGCCCGACCCAGCCAUGCCGCGUGCAGGAUGAAGGCCUUCUGGGUUGUAAACUGCUUUUAUCGGGGAAGAAAACACCCAUGCGUGGGGAACUGACGGUACCUGAGGAAUAAGCACCGGCUAACUCCGUGCCAGCAGCCGCGGUAAUACGGAGGGUGCAAGCGUCGUCCGGAUUUAUUGGGUUUAAAGGGUGCGUAGGCGGCCUUUUAAGUCAGUGGUGAAAGCCCGGGGCUCAACCCCGGAACUGCCAUUGAUACUGGAAGGCUUGAGUACAGACGAGGUAGGCGGAAUUGAGGGUGUAGCGGUGAAAUGCUUAGAUACCCUCAAGAACACCGAUUGCGUAGGCAGCUUACUAGGCUGUAACUGACGCUGAGGCACGAAAGCGUGGGGAGCGAACAGGAUUAGAUACCCUGGUAGUCCACGCCGUAAACGAUGAUUACUCGAUGUCGGCGACAGACCGUCGGCGUCUUAGCGAAAGCGUUAAGUAAUCCACCUGGGGAGUACGCCCGCAAGGG